rnacentral:lncRNA from 1 species
CUUUCCUUCAAUUUUUUAUGCCCCACCUACGAUAGUAGAGGGGCAUUAUGUUUUCUGGUCUGUGCGUCAGUUCGUCCGUCCGUUCGUCCGUCCGUCCGUCUGUCCCGCUUCAGGUUAAAGUUUUUGGUCAAGGUAGUUUUUGAUGAAGUUGAAGUCCAAUCGACUUCAAACUUAGUACACAUGUUCCCUAUAAUAUGAUCUUUCUAAUUUUAAUGCCAAAUUAGAAUUUUUACCCCAAUUUCAC